rnacentral:rRNA from 1 species
CGGGUGCACUGAUCCGGCCGGGCCUUUCCCUCUGUGGAACCCCCAUGGCCUUCACUGGCUGUGCGGGGGAAACAGGACUUUUACUGUGAAAAAAUUAGAGUGCUCCAGGCAGGCCUAUGCUCGAAUACAUUAGCAUGGAAUAAUAGAAUAGGACGCGUGGUUCUAUUUUGUUGGUUUCUAGGACCGCCGUAAUGAUUAAUAGGGACAGUCGGGGGCAUCAGUAUUCAAUUGUCAGAGGUGAAAUUCUUGGAUCUAUUGAAGACUAACUACUGCGAAAGCAUUUGCCAAGGAUGUUUUCAUUGAUAAGGAACGAAAGUUAGGGGAUCGAAGACGAUCAGAUACCGUCGUAGUCUUAACUAUAAACUAUGCCGACUAGGGAUCGGACGAUGUUAUUUCUUGACGCGUUCGGCACCUUUCGAGAAAUCAAAGUGCAUGGGCUCCAGGGGGAGUAUGGUCGCAAGGCUGAAACUUAAAGAAAUUGACGGAAGGGCACCACCAGGGGUGGAACCUGCGGCUUAAUUUGACUCAACACGGGGAAACUCACCAGGUCCAGACACAGUGAGGAUUGACAGAUUGAGAGCUCUUUCUUGAUUCUGUGGGUGGUGGUGCAUGGCCGUUCUUAGUUGGUGGAGUGAUUUGUCUGCUUAAUUGCGAUAACGAACGAGACCUUAACCUGCUAAAUAGCCCGUACUGCUCUGGCAGUUCGCCGGCUUCUUAGAGGGACUAUCGG